rnacentral:rRNA from 1 species
AUGCCAUGGUCAUGUUUGUGUGAUCUACAUCAACGAAUAAAACUCCCGUGGUUGAUAGCCGGGGAUUUUAAUGAUAUCUUAUACUCCCACGAGAAGGAGGGCGGUGCACCGAGGCCAAUGCACAUGAUGCAAAAUUUCGGAGAUGCCCUUGUUGAUUGUGAAUUGGAGGAUAUGGGUUGUAGUGGUGAUUUAUAUACUUGGAGGAGGAGGAGGCUUAGAGAACGACUCGACAGAGCGGUAUAUAAUGGUCAGUUCCAUGGGCUUUUUCCUGAGGCAAAGAUUACUAACGCUGCACAUACCAAGUCUGAUGACAGACCGAUAUUCAUUGAUACGGAGGGAGAUGUACAGGGGGACCAUCAGCGAAACCAUCAGAGGUGCUUUCAAUCUAGGUGGCUGCAAGAGGAGAAUGUUAUGCAAAUUGUGACUGAAGCUUGGGAUCGAACCAAUCCGUUGGCACCCAUUGCAGAGCGCACAACAAGUGUACACGCCACCAUGCAUGAAUGGGAUCGUUCGAUCUUGAAGGCUCCCUAUCGGCGUUUGAAGGAGCUGAAGGCGGAGUUGGAAUUGCUGCGGUCAGGCCCUCUCACUGACGAGGCGGGAGACAGGCAGCGAAUAUUGCUAAUGGAGAUAGAAGAAAAUUUGGAGAAGGAAGAGAUCUAUUGGGUACAACGUAGCCGCGCAAACUGGAUAAAAUUCGGUGAUCGGAACACUAAUUUCUUUCAUAAUUUUGCAUCCGCAAGGAAGAAAAGAAAUUAUAUUAAACGCUUGCUUGAUGACUCAGGUGUAUGA